GGCCACCAAGUUUUUUGUUCUUUAUUGUAGGUUUCUUCUGCGGGACUUUAAAAAUUCGCCACUCUCACCCACUUCCCAUUCCUUGUUUUGUGCCAUUUAACUUUUUGUAAAGUUUGGUUUUGCGAUGCCUUGGCUUUUGUCCCAGAGCAUCUCUCAAUCUUUAGAACAAAGAAUAGAGUAUAAAUAAAUAAUGACAUCGACUCUUAGGGACUAUAAAAUCAGCUUUUCUACUCCACUAGGGAGGUCCACAGGGAGCAUCUGCUUUCUGGGAAAGCAAAUGGAGGAGAGUUGCCAUGAAUGCUCACUUCUUCCAUGGGAAGACUCCCGAGCCCUUGCGACCCUGAGAGAAGGCAGUGACCUGAUCUGCAGGGGUUCAGCCUUCGUAACGGAGUCAGCCAUCAACAAAGCACCAGCCAGCCUGACCCUCUGUGCCUCCUUUCGUCCCUCAAGAAAAUAAGAACCAAGCAAAAGUGAGGAAGAAAGUCU
rnacentral:lncRNA from 1 species